ACAGGUUACACCAGUACAGUCCCCUUGGAGACAAAGCCUCAGCUAGGAGCUGCUGAGGACAUGGGCAGGACGUGCUGCCAAACGUUAGUGAGUGGGCCCACACCUCUGCUCGGGGGGGGGGGGGCUGUUUGCUCCCAGAGCAGCGAGUCUCAUAGUAGGAGGUGGAAAAUAGCACAUGCAAAGCUGUAACACCACAAAAACUCACCCCGACCUGAGGGUUCUGAGCUCUCCAGGGAAUCCACUUUUAAAGCGUCGAACACCUCGAAGUCGGACUUCUUAACAUGAAUCAGAUUGUUAAUCGUCCCCAUCUGGCUGGUCACCACGGGCUGGAAAGAACUAAGAUCUCUGCUGCUUACCCUGGGAGGAUUUCCCUUUAUUCCCAGGCUCCUAUUACCUCCUACUUUCAUCCUUCCUGCUACAUGCUGAUGGCACCACCCAGACAGGAUGCUGACUGCAUAUUCAUGCUCACACCUCUAUCUUGGGCAUGAUGAACUGUGAGAAGGCAGGUGGGCAAAGGGAACAGCAAAUGGCACCGAGAGAAAUGCUCCCUGUGAUGGAUGGAAGAGAACACGGGGUGACCCAAGGGGCUGGCUACCUCUUGAUGAGCGG